GGUGAUGUGCAGCGAAUUAACCCACAUCAACAUGGUGGGCACACAGCAGGCACCAGUGACCGCCAGCCCCCCUUCCCUUAUAGACGGCUGUGAAGGCGCUGCCUCUGUCCGAACAGAGAAGCCUGGGGGUUGUGAGGCAGAGACUGUACUUUUUACGUGAGCCAGUAUUUCCAACAGCAUCACCAGCUGGUGAACUUCAUCUUGGCCUCCACUUGAUGUCUUUUACCCCAUGGAAAUGUCUUUUCAAAGCAGUGUUAUCUGCCCAUGGAGAAUUUAAACAGGAGUCAUCAUCAUUUUCUUCCAAUUUCUGGAAAUAAAUACGUUUUACACAGGAAGGCAUUUCAGGAAGGUGUUUUGCAACGUGAACAGGCUAAAGAAAGCACUCACGUCCAAACUCCCACUCCCAUCUACCCAGAAGGAUGCUUCCAGACCCUAAUGCAGGGAAGGCUUGGUCUCCAGCAGCCCCUCAACCCUGGGCCCUCAGACCGAUGGAGACCAGAGGCCAGGCAAUGCCAUCAACCCCCUGGGGUCCAGCGGAGAAGGGAUGGCGACCAUCAUGGCAGACGCUGUUUCCCCACAAUCAUGGAGAAAUGAUUUAGGACAACGCAGCCUUGCAGAGAUGUGGCGCUAUGCUACUUAGAUCUGUAAAGGCUUCUAGCACAGUCUCUGUGUUUACAGAGUAUCAGUACGUUGAAAACUUGAAAUCAGUGCUCUAGGCUGUAUUUUUCAUUUUGAGAAACACUUUUCAUUACUUGUAGCCCUGUUUCUAAAGUUGAAAUUAGCAUGGCAUGCGUACCCACCCAGCCACCCAUGAAAACAAACUCCAAAACAGACUUCUAGUUUUCGAUGUUUUACUUUAGAGCCCCCACUAACGGGAUUAAAGUAUUUGCCACAAGGAGA